rnacentral:lncRNA from 1 species
AAGCUCAUUUCUUAUCUCAAAACUCUGCUAAAUUCUCCGUUCGAGCACUCCAUUCUUGUUGAGGCAGAGAACUGACUUGAGCGUCGGAGGGUCUUGCCGGAGCAACCCUACCUCCGGUUUAGACUUCCCUUGCAGGUCCCGGCGGCGACCGCGGCUUCCCCGACUCCAGCUUCUCCGGCGCAAGCAGAUUUUUGCACCA